CGGGGCGUAGCGCAGCCUGGUAGCGUACUUGCAUGGGGUGCAAGUGGUCGUCGGUUCAAAUCCGACCGUCCCGACCA
rnacentral:tRNA from 1 species